rnacentral:rRNA from 1 species
UUCGAUCAUGGCUCAGAUUGAACGCUGGCGGGAUCACUUUACAUACCGUCGGGCAGCAGCACGGACUUCGGUCUGGUGGCGAGUGGCGAACGGGUGAGUAAUGUAUCGGAACGUGCUAGUAGCGAGGAUAACUACGCGAAAGCGUAGCUAAUACCGCAUACGCCCUUCGGGGAAAGCGGGAACCUUCGGGCCUCGCGUUAGAGCGGCGAUAUCCAGUUUUGGCUAGUUGGUGGGGUAACGACCGCAAGGCGACGAUCCGUAGCUGGUUUGAAGGACAGCCACCGGACUGAGACGGCUUCAGACUCACAGGAGGCAGCAGUGGGGAAUUUUUGGACGGUUAAUGGGGGAAACCCUGAUCCAGCCAUCGCGUGUGCGAUGAAGGCCUUCAGGUUGUAAAGCACUUUUGGCAGGAAAGAAACGGCACGGGAUAAUACCCCGUGCAACUGACGGUACCUGCAGAAUAAGCACCGGCUAACUACGUGCCAGCAGCCGCGGUAAUACGUAGGGUGCAAGCGUUAAUCGGAAUUACUGGGCGUAAAGCGUGCGCAGUGGUUCGGAAAGAAGACAUUGAAAUCCCAGAGCUUAACUUUGGAACUGCAUUUUUAACUACCGAGCUAGAGUGUGUCAGAGAGUGGAAUUCCGCGUAGCAGAACGAAAUGCGUAUGCGGAGGAACACCGAUGGCGAAAACGGCCUCCUGGGAUAACACUGACAACUCGUGCACGAAAGCGUGGGGGUGAACAGAGUUAGAUACCCUGGUAGUCCACGCCUAAACGAUGUCAACUAAACAUUUGGGGCCUUCCAGACCUUGGUAAGCGCAGGCUUGCGCGUGAGUUGACCGCCUGGAAGUACGGUCACUGGGUCAAACUCAAAGGAAUUGACGGGGACCCGCACAAGCGGUGGAUGAUGUGGAUUAAUUCGAUGCAACGCGAAAAACCUACAUGACAUGUCUGGAAUCCCGAAGAGAUUUAGAAGUGCUCGCAAGAGAACCGGAACACAGGUUAGCAUGGCAUGUCGUCGACCGUGUCGUGAGAUGUUAGGUUAAGUCGGGUAACAGGCGCAGCCCUUGUCAUUGGAUUUGCUACGAAGAGGCCUCUAAUGAGACUGCCGGUGAUCGACAAACCGGAGAAGGUGGGGAUGACAUCAAGUCUCGCUGGCCCUUAUGGGUAGGGCUUCACACGUCGCGCAAUGGUCGGGACAGAGGUCGCCAACCCGCGAGGAGCCAAUCCCAGGAAACCCGAUCGUAGUCGGGAUCAUGAUCUGCAACUCGACUGCGUGAAGUCAGGAAUCGCUAGUAAUCGCGGAUCAGCAUGUCGCGGUGAAUACGUUCGGGUCCUUACCGCCAGCUGCACCAUGGGAGUGGGUUUACCGAAGUAGUUAGCCUAACCGUAAGGAGGGCGAUUACCACGGUAGGAUUCAUGACUGGGGUGAAGUCGUAACAAGGUAA